rnacentral:rRNA from 1 species
UACGAAGGGGGCUAGCGUUGCUCGGAAUCACUGGGCGUAAAGCGCACGUAGGCGGAUUGUUAAGUCAGGGGUGAAAGCCUGGAGCUCAACUCCAGAACUGCCAUUGAAACUGUUAGACUUGAGUACGAGAGAGGUGAGUGGAAUUCCCAGUGUAGAGGUGAAAUUCGUAGAUAUUGGGAAGAACACCAGUGGCGAAGGCGGCUCACUGGCUCGUAACUGACGCUCAGGCGCGACAGCGUGGGGAUCAAACAGG